UACGUAGGGACCAAGCGUUGUUCGGAUUUACUGGGCGUAAAGGGCGCGUAGGCGGCAAUUCAAGUCAUCUGUGAAAUCUCCGGGCUUAACCCGGAACGGUCAGAUGAUACUGUUUUGCUAGAGUGCGGAAGGGGCAAUCGGAAUUCUUGGUGUAGCGGUGAAAUGCGUAGAUAUCAAGAGGAACACCUGAGGUGAAGACGGGUUGCUGGGCCGACACUGACGCUGACAGCGCGAAAGCCAGGGGAGCAAACGGG
rnacentral:rRNA from 1 species